CAUCUCCAAAUCUGGAGCGUGAACGCGCACAAGAGCAGUCCCUGAGCUACGUGAACGACCGAGCUGAAGCCGUCUUGAUUAAUGAUCAAACUUCGCUUUCUUUCACUCGCGCGCCCUGCAGUUUUAUCUGCGCGUGGCUACAUUGGGGCGCACGCGCAUCUCAAGGGUUGUGGAGCUGUGUGCGUAAAGCACGCUCUCGCUCGCGUGUCUUGAUCUUAAUGUUUGGAAAAGCUACAGUUCUGGGAGUUCUGGGAACACAAGUCAAGUCGGGACAGCAAACGCCAGGUGGCGCACGCUAACCGCCAUAUUACGGUGUUCUCAUCACAUAUGAGAGAAGCAGGAAACAUGUCCCAUAACAGGACAGGACCCUGGAGCUGGAACAACCAACCAAACCAAAUAUGGAUGAGGUGCUGAGAGCUGCUUUCCAUCACGAACAAGCAGGAGAAUUGACAGAAUUCAACUUUAAAGAGAUGGAUCCCAGUCGUGCCCUCCCGGUGCCACCUGAGGCUGGCUGUGCACCGCCGAGCGCUCUGUGUCCAGAGAGUCAGCAGGAGCCUGUGAGCAGUGCCUGUUCCAUGCUGCCGUCUCUUCUCCUGCUGCACAGUGAAGCUGCCCCGACCAGCUGGUGGAGCUGGGUAGCUGCAGGCUACCUUGGACCCCAAUCAAGUAUUGAUGUCUGGCUAUCCAUGCUGGCUGACUCACCAAAGAAGAGUUAUACGAGACAGAGAUAGAGAGGAGAGGAUAGUGUUUUCAAAGGAAGCUUUAAGAGCUAAUUGCACUGUCUUGAGCGAAGAUGCUUUCUCACAUGCCUAAUUAAAGAGAAACUUUCUAACUCUCUAAACGGAAUUCAAAUUCCUGUUAGCUCCUUACCAUUCAUUUCCUUCACAUUUGACGUUCAGUGUAUUUAUUGCAAACAAUUCUGUCUGGUUGUAGAAGAUUUAACAGUGGAUGAUAAACAGCAUGAAAUCGCUGACUAUAUAUUAUGCUUCUUUGUGCAGACUAAUAUGUCCAGCCUCAUCAGCGGCAGGUGCUAUGGCAAAGAAGUGUGAGAAACUAAUCAUAGUUGCUGACCUUUUCCAGUCCCAUCAUGCUGUGCAUGGAUAAUCUCCAUGCAGCCCGUUGUCAGUAUGCAUGGGUCAGAUGAGGUAGCGAAAGGUCCACAUUCUGUCUAAGGGAGUUGUUUUUUCUGCUGUCCUGCUUUCUUCUGUGUGCAGUAAAGCAGUGCUGCUGACGUCUGUUCUCAGGUCCACGGCCUUUACAAACUCAAUACAGUUAACCAGUUAUGCGCUACAAUCAGUUAAUGCUCACUGGUUUGUAACGUUGCCCUGCUACAUGAAGCCAAAUCUGCUACCUAAUUAUCUGAAUUCGAUUUAUGUGUGUGCAUGUGUAAAGGCUCAAAAGUCAGGUAAUUGACCUUCUCUUUCAAGGGAAAUGACCAAUUCCCAGUGGUUUCACUAAAUGAGAGCAGUAAAUGUCUUUGAUGUUAUCCGUUCUGAACUUUUUUAACGUUUGCUUCCAGCACUUUUAAAUCUGUCAGAUAUCGGAUAACAAGACUAAGGGCCAGGUUAUGCUA